GUUAAGAGUGACCUGCUCACGUCAGGCUGUACUCUUAUGCGUACUUAAACAGACCCCAGCUCGAUUAUAUAACAUUAGAUUAAAACACUUUACACGUAUAGCACGCGAGGAUGUACCUAUCACGUGGUAAUACAAUCCCUUUGGUGGGACAAUUACGGAUUAUUACAAUUCAUACUGGGAUGAGAUGGUACAGCAGUUGACAGGGCAGAAAAAAGGAGACGUGAAAAAGAUACUGGUGUUCCCAGCACAGGUGCACCAUUCUGGUCAUGGAUGGCAUUGUACGUGGUCAGUUUAUUCCCUCCAAGCUAUAAAAUGAACGACCCAGGGUGCAGCAUAGUUGAAAGGAGAAGAUAUAUGAAAGGACCAUAACAUUGCCGUUGCACGAUGAUGUCUUCUUCUGCCAGGCGAGUACAAGCUUUUACCACAGCCGUUGGCUGCCGAAUGCUAAAGGCUAAAGAAAUAAUACUGUUACCGACGUUGUGGCAUUUCUUCUGUGAACAUUUAACUGGACACUUAAAAUGGCUGGCUAAUGCUUAAUGCCAAAGUAAUAAUGCUGUUACGGAAGCUGUGUUUGGCGGCGUUUUUCCAUGAAUUAUGAUAUCAAUAUAUAAAUUCCUUUGUGCUGUUCAUUUAUUUGUAAUCAUUCUUUUUCAGAGACGUUUAUUUUGUGUAAAGUUUGAAUUUCAUGCACAAUAAAUGUUGUUCUAUAGUAUAUGGAAAUUAAUAACUUUCCAGGAUAUCAAAACGUUGGAGACCAAGUAUCGUCAAAAUAAACAGCCUGGAUCGCGGAAGUGUGUCACUGGGAACUACGUGGCUUUUAGCAAUUUGUCCACAAUCCAUGUGCACAAAAAUAGGCGUAACCUAAUCCACGCUGAACACAGGCACGAUGCUGCUGCAUUUAGGGCGGUUGUAAAGACAGAAAAGCCAUUAACUGAUGAAAGUUCACCUACAAAUAUACACUGGCUUUUAGAUGAGUUUGUCAUUUAAAAAAAUAAACAUUAAUUUCAGUUAAAUGGGUGUAGGUUUUUAAACCGUGGGAAAAGCGUGAAUGGUUAUUUAAGUUUUAGAGGUAUAGAAAGAGACUAAAGAGUUGAGACUUUAACUAUAUGAUCUCUAGACUGCUGUUUUUCACAGGAAUGUUUAACAUUGCUGCGAUGUCAUUGUUAUCGUUUCUUUUAACGGUUUUCAUUUAAUCUAGAUAUUUCAUAUUUUGAAACAGUUUUAACCGAUAUACUGUAUAUUUUCUAUUUAUUGGGAAAAUGUUUGUAAAAAUAGUUAACUGGAAAUUAUAAUGAUUAAGCGUGCAAAGCAAUAGAUCAUAUUGAUUUUCAUUUUGCAA